CUAAUCCAUAUCUCACAUGGAAAAAUGAGUAGGAAGCAGAUAGAUCCACCUUAUAAUUUGCAGGCCUGAAGAGAUCAACAGAGGGUAGUCUUGAAUACAUAUUAAACACGUGAGAAGAAAGAGAAAAAGCGAGAAAGAAGGAAACAAGGAAGAAGGGAAACAAGGAAGGAAACAAGGAAGGAGA